AUUCGGGGCGUCGGAUCCACAACAUGUGUGUUUAAGGAGUCGCUGACUGUUCUUAUAUCCUCCAGUGAACCGAAACAUGAAGUUUACAGACAACAUCUCCACCGCUGCAGUGUUUCUGACUCCUGCUGCCAUGAUGGAGAAGAACAGAGUCUUCAGGAUCUCAGUGGCCAUUUCUUCAGCGUUCACACCACAGGACUUCACUUUGAGGUCUGCAGUUUCCAGUCAGUGUCCAAGCAGGAGGUCCAGGGGAAUAUAGUGGACAAU